rnacentral:rRNA from 1 species
GUAGAUAGAGAAUUGUGAGUGAAGUGAGUUUGCGGGAGCAACUUUUUGUGAGAGAGCUUGGAGAGCUUUGUUUUCCUUUCAUGGCAAAUUAUAGCUUGUUUGUAAAGGAAUAAAAGAAGUAGGACCCCUACUUCGUUACUCUUGCUUUUCUACCUUUUCUUUAUGCUUGCCGAAUGUUAUGGUUGUGGUAUGGCCAUGGUUGAGAUUGUGGCUUUUUGAUUGAUUGCGCUUGUGUUUGGCCUUGUUUGCGUGGGAUUCUUGCUUGUGUAACUCUGAGGUUGCCUGAGGGAAGCUUGGCCAUUUGUUGGUAGCUUGAAGUGCAUGGUUUUGAAGUUGCUUGCCUUGGUAGCCGUGAGGUAAGUUUACUAUCCUUUUAUUCUUUCUGCCGUGAGAUUAGAUGAGUUGGUUACUCGUUGGUUUGUUAUGCGCAUUAGUUGGGUUGUUAUUGCUUGUGCGUGAUUAGUGGACACUUGUUGAUGGUUGAAUACUUGUGGUAGCUUGUUGUUGUUGCGUGAACUGGUUACUCUUGGGUGUUUGAGUUUCGCCAUUUUUGUAAGUUUAGUGGUGAACUUAGUUUUUACCGUGGUUUACACUUUGAAGACUUGUUUGGGGUGUGUUGCCGUGAACAAGUGAGGUUCCUUUGUGGUUAGCCGUGGGGGUUCCAUUGGUUGUUAUGAAGAUUUUUGCCGAGAGUAUCAUUGUUUGAAGCUUUUUGGUGUGAACUUGUUAGCCGUGUGAGGUUCUUGAGUUAUAGGAGUGACUUCGGGACUCUUGGGUGUGGAGUGUGCCGUGUGGACCUCUUGGUGUUGGGAGAUUACCGUGAGCUUGGCUUGGUACACUUGGUGUUUGUUGCCGUUGAGGUUUCCCUUGGUGUGUUGGUGUUUUGCCGUGAUCCUUGUGAAGUUUGGGUUGUUGGCAUUCACACCUUGUGGACGUGAGGUUCCCUUUGGUGUUUGGGAUUGGUUGCCGUGAGUUUCGUGAUAAUUGGGGGCCGUGGAUCCAUUGGGACCAAAGAGGGCUGACUUGCGUUGUGGAUUGGCAAGUGCCGCGGCGGGAUUCUUGUGGAUUUUGGAUUGAAAAAAAUUUAUCCCGGUUGACACGGCGAGCCCGCGGCGAGAGCUGCCGCCGGUGCAGAUCUUGUGGUUAGUAAGCAAAUAUUCAAAUAGAGAACUUUGAAGCGAAGAGGGGAAAGGUUCCAUGUGACGGCACUUGCACUGGGUUAGUCGAAUCCUAAGAGGGGGACAAGCCCCGUCGACAGGCGUCCGCCGCGAGCUUCGGAAAAGGGAAUCGGGUUAAAAUUCCGGAACCGGACGCGCGGCUGACGGCAAGUUAGGGAGUCCGGAGACGUCGGCGGGGGGCCUCGGAAGAGUUAUCUUUUCUGUUUAACGGGCCCGCCCCACCCUGGAAACGACUCAGUCGGAGGUAGGGUUUCCGCGGCCGGAAGAGCAGCCGCACGUCUUCCGCGGUGUCCGGUGCGCCCCGCGGGCCCGUGAAAAGUCCGGAGGACGAGUGCCUCCCCGGCCCGGUCGUACUCAUAACCGCAUCAGCGGUCUUCCAAGGUGAACAGCCUCUGGCCCAUGGGUGGAACAAUGUAGGCAAGGGAAGUCGCAAACGGAUCCGUAACCUCGCUGGAAAAUAAUUUGGCUCUGAGGCUGGCCGGGUCCCAGUCCCGAACCCGUCGGCUGUCGGCGGACUGCCUACGAGCUGCUCCCGCGGCGAGAGCGGGUCGCCGCGUGCGGCCGGGGGACGGACUGGAACGGCCCUCGGGGGCCUUCCCCCGGGCGUCGAAACAGUCGACUCAGAGAACUGGUAACUGGACAAGGGGAAUCCGACUGUUUAAUUAAACAAAGCAUUGCGAAUGGUCCCUCGGAUGCUACGCCAAUGUGAUUUCUGCCCAGUGCUCUGAAUGUCAAGUGAAAGAAAUUCAACCAAAGCGCGGGUAAACGCGCGGGAGUAACUAUUGACUCAUCUUAAGUAGCCAAAGGCCUACGGUCAUCUUAAUUAGUGACGCGCAUGAAUGGAUUACGAGAUUCCCACUGUCCCUGUCUUAACUAUCCAGCGGAAACCACAGCCAAGGACGGGACUUGGCGGGAAUCAGCGGGGAAAGAAGACCCUGGGUUGUAGCUUGAACUCAUAGUCCGACUUUGUGAAAUGACUUGAGAGGUAUGGUAGGAUAAGUGGGAGCCGGAAACGCGACGGUGACAAUACCACUAACUUUUUAACGUUAUUUACUUAUUCCGGAAUCGGAAGGCGGGGCCUCGCCCCUCUUUUUGGACCAAAGGCCGCCACGAGCGGCCGCAUCCGGGCGGAAGACAUUGUCAGGUGGGGAAGUUUGGCUGGGGCGGCACAUCUGUUAAAAGAUAACGCAGGUGUCCUAAGAUGAGAUCUCAACGAGAACAGAAAUCUCGUGUGGAACAAGGUAAAAGCUCGUUGAUUCUGAUUCUCCAGUACGAAUACGGAACCGUGAAAGCGUGGCCUAUCGAAUCCUUUAACCUUCGAAUUUUGAGUGAGAGGUGUCAGAAAGUUAACCCACAAGGGAUAACUGGCUUGUUGGCAGCCAAGCGUUUCAUAGCGACGUUUGCUUUUUGAUCCUUCGAUUGGUCGGCUCUUCCUAUCAUUGUUGAAGCAGAAUUCACCAAGUGUUGGGAUUGUUCACCCACCAAUAGGGAACUGAGCGGGUUUAGGACCGUCGUUGAGACAGGUUAGUUUUACCCUACUGAUGACCGCGUCCGAUCGGUAAUUCAACCUAGUACGAGAGGAACCGUUUGAUCGCACAAUGGUCAUCGCGGCUUGGUUGAAAAGCCAAGUGCGCGAAGCUACCGUGCGCUGGCAUUAUGACGAACGCCUCUAAGCAGAGAAUCCGGGCCAGAAGCGACGCCCGUGUCCGUGCGCCCGCUUGCCGCCCGCCAGUAGGGGCCACCUCGGCCCCCAGAGGCACGUGCCGUUGGCAAAGCCCCCGCGGCGGACAGUCCAGCGCGGAGCCGCCAUGAAGUACUAUUCUCCACCGGGCGUCGGGCAGAAUCCUUUGCAGACGACUUAAAUACGCGACGGGUAUUAGUAAGUGGCAGAGUGGCCUUGCUGCCACGAUCCACUGAGAUUCAGCCACUUUGUCGCUCCGAUUUCGUCCCUCCCCCCCCC